GUCUACAGCCAUACUACCUUGAACACACCCUCUUAUCUGAUCUUGGAAGCCAAGCAAGGUUGGUCCUGGCUGGCCUGGUCCCGGAGGAGAAGUAAAAA
rnacentral:rRNA from 1 species